UACAGAGGUCUCAAGCGUUGUUCGGAUUCAUUGGGCGUAAAGGGUGCGUAGGCGGCGCGGUAAGUCGGGUGUGAAAUCUUGGAGCUUAACUCCGAAACUGCAUUCGAUACUGCCGUGCUUGAGGACUGGAGAGGAGACUGGAAUUUACGGUGUAGCGGUGAAAUGCGUAGAUAUCGAGAGGAACACCUGCGGCGAAGGCGGGUUGCUGGGCUGACACUGACGCUGAUGCGCGAAAGCUAGGGGAGCGAACGGG
rnacentral:rRNA from 1 species